UACGUAGGACGCAAGCGUUGUCCGGAAUUAUUGGGCGUAAAGAGCUCGUAGGCGGUUUGUCACGUCUGCUGUGAAAAUCCGAGGCUCAACCUCGGACCUGCAGUGGGUACGGGCAGACUAGAGUGUGGUAGGGGAGACUGGAAUUCCUGGUGUAGCGGUGGAAUGCGCAGAUAUCAGGAGGAACACCAAUGGCGAAGGCAGGUCUCUGGGCCACAACUGACGCUGAGGAGCGAAAGCGUGGGGAGCGAAC
rnacentral:rRNA from 1 species